rnacentral:tRNA from 1 species
GCCUUCAUAGUAUAGUGGUCAGCACACUCGAUGCAUAUUCGAGAGGUCAGUGGUUCGAUUCCCUGCGAGGACA